rnacentral:rRNA from 1 species
UGGGGCUCGGUUCACUCCCAACCCAAUGUGAACGUUACCAAACUGUUGCCUCGGCGGGGUCACGCCCCGGGUGCGUCGCAGCCCCGGAACCAGGCGCCCGCCGGAGGAACCAACCAAACUCUUUCUGUAGUCCCCUCGCGGACGUUAUUUCUUACAGCUCUGAGCAAAAAUUCAAAAUGAAUCAAAACUUUCAACAACGGAUCUCUUGGUUCUGGCAUCGAUGAAGAACGCAGCGAAAUGCGAUAAGUAAUGUGAAUUGCAGAAUUCAGUGAAUCAUCGAAUCUUUGAACGCACAUUGCGCCCGCCAGUAUUCUGGCGGGCAUGCCUGUCCGAGCGUCAUUUCAACCCUCGAACCCCUCCGGGGGAUCGGCGUUGGGGAUCGGGACCCCUCACACGGGUGCCGGCCCCUAAAUACAGUGGCGGUCUCGCCGCAGCCUCUCCUGCGCAGUAGUUUGCACAACUCGCACCGGGAGCGCGGCGCGUCCACGUCCGUAAAACACCCAACUUUCUGAAAUGUUGACCUCGGAUCAGGUAGGAAUACCCGCUGAACUUAAGCAUAUCAAAAA